rnacentral:hammerhead_ribozyme from 1 species
AUCUAGCUGACGAGUCAUAAAUAGGACGAAACGUGCUUCCUGGAU